GACGAACGCUGGCGGCGUGCUUAACACAUGCAAGUCGAGCGAGGCCCCUCCUUCGGGAGGGUGUCCUAGCGGCGAACGGGUGAGUAACACGUGGGCAACCUGCCCUCAGCUCUGGGAUAACUCCGGGAAACCGGGGCUAAUACCGGAUACGACCUCCACGGGCAUCUGCGGAGGUGGAAAGUUUUUCGGCUGAGGAUGGGCCCGCGGCCUAUCAGCUAGUUGGUGGGGUAGUGGCCCACCAAGGCGACGACGGGUAGCCGGCCUGAGAGGGCGACCGGCCACACUGGGACUGAGACACGGCCCAGACUCCUACGGGAGGCAGCAGUGGGGAAUAUUGCGCAAUGGGCGAAAGCCUGACGCAGCGACGCCGCGUGAGGGACGAAGGCCUUCGGGUUGUAAACCUCUUUCGGCAGGGACGAAGCGAAAGUGACGGUACCUGCAGAAGAAGCACCGGCCAACUACGUG
rnacentral:rRNA from 1 species